rnacentral:rRNA from 1 species
GACGAACGCUGGCGGCGUGCCUAAUACAUGCAAGUAGAACGCACAGUUUAUACCGUAGCUUGCUACACCAUAGACUGUGAGUUGCGAACGGGUGAGUAACGCGUAGGUAACCUGCCUGGUAGCGGGGGAUAACUAUUGGAAACGAUAGCUAAUACCGCAUAAUAUUAAUUAUUGCAUGAUAAUUAAUUGAAAGGUGCAAUUGCACCACUACCAGAUGGAUCUGCGUUGUAUUAGCUAGUAAGUGAGGUAACGGCUCACCUAGGCGACGAUACAUAGCCGACCUGAGAGGGUGAUCGGCCACACUGGGACUGAGAAACGGCCCAGACUCCUACGGGAGGCAGCAGUAGGGAAUCUUCGGCAAUGGACGAAAGUCUGACCGAGCAACGCCGCGUGAGUGAAGAAGGUUUUCGGAUCGUAAAGCUCUGUUGUAAGAGAAGAACGGGUGUGAGAGUGGAAAGUUCACACUGUGACGGUAUCUUACCAGAAAGGGACGGCUAACUACGUG